rnacentral:rRNA from 1 species
UACAGAGGUCUCAAGCGUUGUUCGGAUUCAUUGGGCGUAAAGGGCGCGUAGCGGCCGCCUAAGUCAGACGUGAAAUCCCUCGGCUCAACCGGGGAACUGCGUCUGAUACUGGGUGGCUUGAAUUCGGGAGAGGGAUGCGGAAUUCCGUGGUGUAGCGGUUGGAAUGCGCAGGAUAUCAGGAGGAACACCGGUGGCGAAGGCGGGGAUCCUGG